AAGGGCACCACCAGGAGUGGAGCCUGCGGCUUAAUUUGACUCAACACGGGGAACCUCACCAGGUCAGGACAUGGGAAGGAUUGACAGAUCGAGAGCUCUUUCUUGAUUCUAUGGGUGGUGGUGCAUGGCCGUUCUUAGUUGGUGGAGUGAUUUGUCUGGUUGAUUCCGUUAACGAACGAGACCUUAACCUGCUAACUAGUCGUGCCGUUUCUGAACGGCGAGGGUUGUUGGUCGGUGCGACGUCUGUUGCAUCAGUUGGUGCCUUCACACUCUCCUCUCCGGUGACGACUUCUUAGAGGGACACUCGGCAUCGGUUU
rnacentral:rRNA from 1 species